rnacentral:tRNA from 1 species
GGGGAUAUAGCUCAGCUGGGAGAGCGCUGCGUUCGCAACGCAGAGGCCGUGGGUUCGAAUCCCAUUAUCUCCA